rnacentral:lncRNA from 1 species
CCUGCCAUAUCCUUAGGUAAAUUGUCCCAACAUUUAACUGUCCUUAUCUAAUGACUAAUUAUCCUCAUUUUUUAAAAACAACCUUCACAUUGUAUUCAAGUCACUUGAUCUUGUCAUGCUUUAUUUCUCUCCUGUUGUUAAACUGAGCAGGCUUUCCUUACUAAAGGCUGAGCCAAGUCUUUCCUCAUCAGACAUAGGCUCUGCUCUUGCAAAAACUUACUUUUUAAGACUUGGGUGGAGGAGAGAAUCAGUCAGUAGGCCAAUGGGGCCUCGAGGGUUAGGAGAUGGACAGGGAAGGGUCUGGAACAAAGGGCAGGGUUUACAAUGAUGGACAGGGAAGGGUCUGGAAUAAGGGGCAGGGUUUACAAUGAUGGACAGGGAAGGGUCUGGAAUAAGGGGCAGGGCAUACAGUGAUGGGCAACUGGGAACUUAGGGUGAUUGGACAAGGGGGAGAUUGACAUAGACCACUCUGGAAAAUAGGGAAGGCUCUUGGGGUGAAUGACAUUAGGAAAAAGGAGGAGUUAAGAUGGAUACAACCAUUCCCCUUGGGGGGGGGGAAGUAACAAGGACAAACCAUAUGUAAAACAUAUAUUACCAAAAUGCACCACCACAGGGCAUGGCACAAGUGUUUUCACCAUCUGCAUCCCUGUCAUCAUGAAGUAGAAAGGGUAUAUGGUCCACUUCCAGCAUUACAAGAGAAAUCUACUGUUUUUUACUGCUGUGAAGAGCAAGAAUAACAGUUUUGGUCGGUAUGACUGAGUCCUUGCAGACAUCAAAUUCCCCAAGCUUUUCACAGGUGGAAAGCUCUUCCUGCUGGCACCUUUCUCCAGAGCAGGACUUACAGGAAGAUGAAACUACAUGCUUCCUGUGGGAGAAAGAGAAAAAAAAAUGGAGCAAGAAACGGACAAGAAAGCUUCCUAAAGGUUCCUCAAAUGAAGCAAAGGAAACCAAGAGACAGAAAGGCUAAAGCCAGAAAUGUUACUGAAGAGGCCAACAGAGAAUGUAGCUUCUUGUUGGAGCACUUUGAGCAAAACUCCCAUUUCAGGAAAGCUGAAGAGCCUACAGCAAGAGAAGCAAGAAGGCUGAGAACCUUAUUUGGUGAGCAGAAUAGGAGAAAUCUAGCACCAGGAAUAUCUCAGUCUCUGGAGAAGAAAGAUAGAGCAAAGAAUUAGUACCAGUACCAUGGUCUAGCACCA